GACGGAGGAUGCAAGUGUUAUCCGGAAUCACUGGGCGUAAAGCGUCUGUAGGUGGUUUAAAAAGUCCACUGUUAAAAAUUGAAGCUUAACUUCAAAGAUGCCGUGGAAACUUUUAAACUUGAGUAUGAUAGGGGUAGAGGGAAUUUCCAGUGGAGCGGUGAAAUGCGUAGAUAUUAGAAAGACCACCAAUGGCGAAGGCACUCUACUGGGCCAUUACUGACACUGAGAGACGAAAGCUAGGGGAGCGAAUGGG
rnacentral:rRNA from 1 species